rfam:Triticum aestivum genome assembly, contig: Triticum_aestivum_CS42_TGACv1_scaffold_530343_6DL
GUAGUACUCCCUCCGUCCAGAAAUACUUGUCAUCAAAAUGAAUAAAACGGGAUGUAUCUAGAUAUAUAUUAGUUCUAUAUACAUCUUUUUUAUCCAUUUUGAUGACAAGUAUUUUCGGACGGAGGGAGUACUUG